rnacentral:rRNA from 1 species
CACGUAGGGGCCAAGCGUUGUCCGGAUUCAUUGGGCGUAAAGAGCUCGUAGGCGGUUCAGUCAGUCGGGUGUGAAAUCUCCGGGCUCAACCCGGAGGGGCCACCCGAUACUGCUGUGACUCGAGUCCGGUAGGGGAGUGGGGAAUUCCUGGUGUAGCGGUGAAAUGCGCAGAUAUCAGGAGGAACACCGGUGGCGAAGGCGGUUCUCUGGGCAUGUCCUGACGCUGAGGAGCGAAAGUGUGGGGAGCGAACAGG